GACGGAAGGUGCAAGCGUUGCUCGGAAUCACUGGGCGUAAAGGGUGCGUAGGCGGCCGCGCAAGUCUGGCGUGAAACCCCCAGGCUCAACCUGGGGACGCCACCCGAUACUGCUGUGGCUAGAGUCCAGUAGGGGAGUGUGGAAUUCCCGGUGUAGCGGUGAAAUGCGCAGAUAUCAGGAGGAACACCAGUGGCGAAGGCGCCGCUCUGGGCCGAGACUGACGCUGAGGAGCGAAAGCGUGGGUAGCAAACAGG
rnacentral:rRNA from 1 species